AAACAUCGCCUCUUGCCAACUUACAUGUAUAAGAGGUCCAGCCUGCCCAGUGACUAUAUGUUCAACGGCCGCGGUAUUCUGACCGUGCAAAGGUAGCGUAAUCACUUGUCUUUUAAAUAAAGACUGGUAUGAACGGCACCACGAAGGUUCAACUGUCUCCUGCAUCCUAUCCAUAAAAUUGACCUCCCCGUGCAGAGGCGGGGAUAUAACCAUAAGACGAGAAGACCCUAUGGAGCUUCAAACUAAGGGCAACUGCCAAUAAUCUAUUAAACCGUUAGGAAUUAAUCAGUAAACAAGCAGAUAAAUGACCUAAAGUUUUCGGUUGGGGCGACCAUGGAGAAAAAGAAAUCCUCCUUGAAGAACAGGACAUUCAAUCCUUAACCAAGAAUAACAGUUCUAAGUAACAAAAUUUUAGACUAUAAUUGAUCCAGUCUAACUGAUCAACGAACCAAGUUACCCUAGGGAUAACAGCGCAAUCCAUUUCAAAAGUUCUUAUCGACAAAUGGGUUUACGACCUCGAUGUUGGAUCAGGGCAUCCCAGUGGUGCAGCCGCUACUAAAGGUUCGUUUGUUCAACGAUUAAAGCCCUAC
rnacentral:rRNA from 1 species